AUGAGUGGGUCUAGGAGGUGGGAUGAGAAUCUGAUCAGACACCUAUUUUAUCCUCAUGAUGCAGAGGAAAUUCUAAAGCUUCGUAUUCUGUAUUUGGGUGAGGGAGAUCUACUUGCUUGGCACUAUGAGAAAAAUGGAUUAUUCUCUGUGAAGAGUGUGUAUAGACUGGCACUGUCUCUCAAGCAAUCAAUAGGUGAUUCCCGGAAUUCUAGUAAUGUCGUGAAUGGGGAACGGAGGCUCUGGGACAUAAUUUGGAAAGCGAAUGUUCCCCAGAAAAUUAAAAUAUUUGCUUGGAGGGUUGCUUCUAAUAGUUUUGCGGUUCAAGUUAACAGGGUGAAACACCAUCAAACUAUUUUAGGUACGUGCUCGAUUUGCGGUACUGAAGAUGAAUGUACUUUUCAUGCAUUGGUAAAUUGUCCAAAGGCAUGUGCAUUUCGUAUGGCUCUGAGGGAAGUAUGGAAUCUAGCAACUGAAGACAUUCUCAAAUAUUCUGCGCCAGACUGGUUUCUUAUAUUAUUGGAUCAAUUAAAUUCACAUAUGCGUGAGCAGACAAUAUUCAUGUUCUGGAGAGCUUGGCACUUGAGGAAUGAUUUGAUUUUUGGUAAGGGAAAGGAAUCCAUCGCAACUUCGGUAAGUUUUGUUCAAAGUUAUUGGACUACUUUCUCGUCUUGUUAGGCAAACAUGCAGACUCCCGAUUUGGGUCUUUACAAGAUUAAUGUCGACGCAAGUUUUGUGGAGGCCAUCAAAUCUGCGAGCAUGGGGGUGGUGGUUAGAGACCACAAUGGACAUGUUAUCAUCUCCUCUUGGGAUUAUAUUGGUGCUUGCCAUAGCGUCGAGGAAGCGGAGAUACGAGCGACCCUCUCUAGCAUGUAUAUUGGAAUCACUCUUGACAAAACCAUCAUUUUGGAAACUAAUUGCUCCUUUCUAGCUUCGAUAUUUGGAAAAGAGUGUGUUGAUAGGUCAAGCCUGGUGGACGUAAAGAAGGAGGCGCUGAAUGUCUCAAGGCUGAUGCCGGGUAUGAAGAUAUCCAAGAUUAAUAGGAGGGCAAAUAUGGUGGCUCACGGGAUUGCUAAGUUUAGCUUUGAUAAUAGAUCAGAUGGUAUUCUUUUUAAUACUGUUACGCCCUAUGUGGCACAGUUUGUUAUGAAUGAUUGUACGGAUGUUUUGAAUUAA
rnacentral:rRNA from 1 species